CAGUUUCCAAGUCAAGAUAAUGUUAUGCAUAUACAAAUACAAGUAGUAGUGAGCUGGCUUAAUAAUAAGGUCAAGAUAGAGAGAAACUCAGGUCAUUUGGAGAAGGAAAGAUGGGGGUACAUGCCUCUAAGUAAAGGAAGUUUCAUUAUACAAAUAGAGAUGCAGACAAAUUUGUUAUGGAAUGGAUGAUCUAUUAUUGGUGAUCAUCAAUACAAACUGUACUGUGACAUGGAACACCGACAGAUACACAAUGAAAAGGGGUGCUAAUCCCUUGUCUUAUAAGUUAAAAUCUAGUAGGAAUUCCUAUUCUGUUGGCAACAGGGCACAAGAGGUUAAGGUUUUGAGUUCUGCCAAAUCAUCACCAGCCUUCUUUUCACGCGUUAACAGAUUGGCUGGAUUAUGAGUCCAGGAAGUUAAGGAGAGAUAAUAUGCAAUAUGCACACUCGCAUUCAAAGGUAUGAUGGGAUCACUGACCUUAUUAGAUGCCAAAACUAAGUAACAAUAAGGAUUUUUAUAAGAAGUAGAAACACAUAUCGUUGAUGCAUCAUGCAUGCACGAUUGUUGAUCUACCUACUAAAAUCAGUCUUGUUAAUGUGCUUUUAAGUUACAGGUAGCUUUAAUUGUGUAGCGCAGUGAGUUACUGAAUACAAGAUUACUGACUGUAGUAGCAAGUGUUGCUGCUGAAUUUGUGAAAAUCGGAACCAGUAUAUACACCUUAAAUUACCAAGAUACAAUAAUGGAAGUGGAGAGAAAAUACAUGUAGUCAGUGUGUGCACAGUGCACAUUUGACAUUACAGCAUAAGAAGGUUAUCAGGUUUAAUAUCUUAAGACAUCUACCUUUGCAUCCAAAUAACAUUGUUUCAAUAUAUUACUGUCCUUGCUUUGUAAACGACACGGGGUUUAGGGUUCCAUAUAGCAAUACAACGAACAUGUAAUAAUAAUUCCCGACAGUAUAGGAUGAUGACAUUGCUUAAAUCAUGUUGGACGUAAUCUGUAAUAUAUUGUUAUGUUUUCUCAGAAAAAGUGUUAAACUUAAUUUCGAAAUUCAAACAAGACCUACUUAGAUUUCGGACCAUGUUUACUAGUUUACCAAGAGAUAGAAAAAGAAGAGAUCAAGAUAAUAUCUACACAAUAUUUGAUAUCCCUAAGCUUCCUAAAGACCUUCAAGGAUGCCCAAUUAGAAUAAUAACACCCUCAGCCUAUGUCCUGGAGUGCAGCCAAUACAUCAACAGGGAUUAUAACAAUAUCCCCAGGGUCCUUCGGUUUGGUGUAAAUUACUUGGUACUUUCCAAAAUCUUUGUAAUUUUCUAAUAGGCGUCAUGACUUUUCCCCCCAGAAAGAGCAUCAUUAUAAUACAUUUAAGAUAUUCAUGACAAUCUCUAAAGUUACUACCAGUCGUCAAUGCUUUAAAAUCCUAUAAUUGCCUUGCAAAAUGAUAUUCAUGAGCUCCUACUAGUCUAGUUUGACAAAUAUUUAGAACUAAUACAGAUCUUACAAAGUUCAACAACAACGAAAUAACACAAGUACAGAGAAACAUAUGGUGAAUUGUUCAAUAAAGAAAAGGAAGGAGACCUAAUUCCUCGGUAUCCUUUAGAUUAGACCAAUCCCAGAUCAUAUAAUGUCUUCUGUAACAGUAGCAUUCCUUUAUAUUAUCAUUGAUUAUAUGGUUUAUAAGGCAAUGAGAUAUCAUGGGACUGAUAUAUUUAAAUGGUUAAAUAUCCAUCACCUUCUCGGUGAGUGUUAUGCAGAUAUCCAUUCUUCUAAACGUGCAAAGGACAGAGACAACUAAUAUACUCCAGAAUUUAGGACAUUGUUGAGAGA
rnacentral:lncRNA from 1 species